UACGAAGGAUUCGAGCGUUAUCCGGAUUUAUUGGGUUUAAAGCGUGCGUAGGCGGACUGAUAAGUCAGUGGUGAAAGCCUGUUGCUUAACAACAGAACUGCCAUUGAUACUGCCAGUCUUGAGUACAGUUGAGGUAGGCGGAAUGUGUCAUGUAGUGGUGAAAUACUUAGAUAUGACACAGAACACCGAUUGCGAAGGCAGCUUGCUAAACUGUAACUGACGCUGAGGCACGAAAGCAUGGGGAGCAAACAGG
rnacentral:rRNA from 1 species